rnacentral:rRNA from 1 species
AAGUCUGGUGCCAGCAGCCGCGGUAAUUCCAGCUCCAAUAGCGUAUAUUAAAGUUGUUGCCGUUAAAAAGCCUCGUAGUUGAACCUUGGACCUGGCUGAUCCUGUCCUCCCUAAUCGAGCGCACGGAUUCGGUCGGGUCUUUCCUUCUGGGGAGCCCUAUGCCCUUCACUGGGUGUAGUGGGGAACCAGGACUUUUACCUUGAAAAAAUUAGAGUGUUCAAAGCAGGCCUUUGCUCGAAUACAUUAGCAUGGAAUAAUAGAAUAGGACAUCGGUUCUAUUUUGUUGGUUUCUAGGACCGCUUGUAAUGAUUAAUAGGGGAUAGUCGGGGGCGUCAGUAUUCAAUUGUCAGAGGUGAAAUUCUUGGAUUUAUUGAAGACGUAACUACUGCGAAAGCAUUCGCCAAGGAUGUUUUCAUUAAUCAGUGAACGAAAGUUAGGGGAUCGAAGACGAUCAGAUACCGUCGUAGUCUUAACCAUAAACUAUGCCAC